CCCGCUGAACUUAAGCAUAUCAAUAAGCGGAGGAAAAGAAACCAACAGGGAUUGCCUCAGUAACGGCGAGUGAAGCGGCAACAGCUCAAAUUUGAAAUCUGGCUCUUUGAGUCCGAAUUGUAAUUUGUAGAGGAUGUUUCGAGCGUGGUCCGGUCUAAGUUCCUUGGAACAGGACGUCAUAGAGGGUGAGAAUCCCGUAUGUGACCGGGUGCCUAUGUUCAUGUGAAACUCCUUCGACGAGUCGAGUUGUUUGGGAAUGCAGCUCAAAAUGGGUGGUAAAUUUCAUCUAAAGCUAAAUAUUGGCCAGAGACCGAUAGCGCACAAGUAGAGUGAUCGAAAGAUGAAAAGCACUUUGGAAAGAGAGUUAAACAGUACGUGAAAUUGUUGAAAGGGAAGCGCUUGCAACCAGACUUGCAUAUAGUUGAUCAUCCGGCGUUUUCACCGGUGCACUCGAUUGUAUUCAGGCCAGCAUCGGUUUUAGUGGUUGGAUAAAGGCCUUGGGAAUGUAGCUUCUUUCGGGGAGUGUUAUAGCCCUAGGUGCAAUGCAGCCUACUGAGACCGAGGACCGCGCUUCGGCUAGGAUGCUGGCGUAAUGGUUGUAAGCGACCCGUCUUGAAACACGG
rnacentral:rRNA from 1 species